rnacentral:rRNA from 1 species
UACGGAGGGUGCGAGCGUUGUCCGGAUCACUGGGCGUAAAGCGUGCGUAGGCGGUUGGUUAAGUCUGCUGUGAAAGCCCUGGGCUCAACCUGGGAACUGCAGUGGAUACUGGCCAGCUAGAGUGUGAUAGAGGAUGGUGGAAUUCCCGGUGUAGCGGUGAAAUGCGUAGAGAUCGGGAGGAACACCAGUGGCGAAGGCGGCCAUCUGGA